rnacentral:rRNA from 1 species
UGGGGAAUAUUGGACAAUGGGCGAAAGCCUGAUCCAGCAAUGCCGCGUGAGUGAUGAAGGCCUUAGGGUUGUAAAGCUCUUUUUACCAGGGAUGAUAAUGACAGUACCUGGAGAAUAAGCUCCGGCUAACUCCGUGCCAGCAGCCGCGGUAAUACGGAGGGAGCUAGCGUUGUUCGGAAUUACUGGGCGUAAAGCGUACGUAGGCGGUGACUCAAGUCAGAGGUGAAAGCCUGGAGCUCAACUCCAGAACUGCCUUUGAAACUAGGUCGCUAGAAUCACGGAGAGGUGAGUGGAAUUCCGAGUGUAGAGGUGAAAUUCGUAGAUAUUCGGAAGAACACCAGUGGCGAAGGCGGCUCACUGGACGUGUAUUGACGCUGAGGUACGAAAGCGUGGGGAGCAAACAGGAUUAGAUACCCACGUAGUCCCUGAGCGGGCUGGCAAGGCGCAU